rnacentral:rRNA from 1 species
UCUGGGACAAGCCCUGGAAACGGGGUCUAAUACCGGAUAAUACUUUUUCCUGCAUGGGAAAGGGUAGAAAGCUCCGGCGGUGAAGGAUGAGCCCGCGGCCUAUCAGCUUGUUGGUGGGGUGAUGGCCUACCAAGGCGACGACGGGUAGCCGGCCUGAGAGGGCGACCGGCCACACUGGGACUGAGACACGGCCCAGACUCCUACGGGAGGCAGCAGUGGGGAAUAUUGCACAAUGGGCGAAAGCCUGAUGCAGCGACGCCGCGUGAGGGAUGACGGCCUUCGGGUUGUAAACCUCUUUCAGCAGGGAAGAAGCGAAAGUGACGGUACCUGCAGAAGAAGCGCCGGCUAACUACGUGCCAGCAGCCGCGGUAAUACGUAGGGCGCAAGCGUUGUCCGGAAUUAUUGGGCGUAAAGAGCUCGUAGGCGGCUUGUCACGUCGGAUGUGAAAGCCCGGGGCUUAACCCCGGGUCUGCAUUCGAUACGGGCAGGCUAGAGUGUGGUAGGGGAGAUCGGAAUUCCUGGUGUAGCGGUGAAAUGCGCAGAUAUCAGGAGGAACACCGGUGGCGAAGGCGGAUCUCUGGGCCAUUACUGACGCUGAGGAGCGAAAGCGUGGGGAGCGAACAGGAUUAGAUACCCUGGUAGUCCACGCCGUAAACGUUGGGAACUAGGUGUUGGCGACAUUCCACGUCGUCGGUGCCGCAGCUAACGCAUUAAGUUCCCCGCCUGG